AUUGAACGCUGGCGGCAUGCCUUACACAUGCAAGUCGAACGGUAACGCGGGGCAACCUGGCGACGAGUGGCGAACGGGUGAGUAAUGUAUCGGAACGUGCCCAGUUGUGGGGGAUAACUGCUCGAAAGAGCAGCUAAUACCGCAUACGACCUGAGGGUGAAAGCGGGGGAUCGCAAGACCUCGCGCAAUUGGAGCGGCCGAUAUCAGAUUAGGUAGUUGGUGGGGUAAAGGCCCACCAAGCCAACGAUCUGUAGCUGGACUGAGAGGACGACCAGCCACACUGGGACUGAGACACGGCCCAGACGCCUACGGGAGGCAGCAGUGGGGAAUUUUGGACAAUGGACGCAAGUCUGAUCCAGCCAUGCCGCGUGCGGGAAGAAGGCCUUCGGGUUGUAAACCGCUUUUGUCAGGGAAGAAACGCUCUGGGUUAAUACCUCGGGGUAAUGACGGUACCUGAAGAAUAAGCACCGGCUAACUACGUGCCAGCAGCCGCCGUAACAC
rnacentral:rRNA from 1 species